rnacentral:rRNA from 1 species
GUGAGGAAUAUUGGUCAAUGGGCGCAAGCCUGAACCAGCCAUGCCGCGUGCAGGAUGACGGUCCUAUGGAUUGUAAACUGCUUUUGUACGGGAAGAAACCCUCCUACGUGUAGGGGCUUGACGGUACCGUAAGAAUAAGGAUCGGCUAACUCCGUGCCAGCAGCCGCGGUAAUACGGAGGAUCCAAGCGUUAUCCGGAAUCAUUGGGUUUAAAGGGUCUGUAGGCGGUCUUGUAAGUCAGUGGUGAAAGCCCAUCGCUCAACGGUGGAACGGCCAUUGAUACUGCUGGACUUGAAUUAUUGGGAAGCAACUAGAAUAUGUAGUGUAGCGGUGAAAUGCUUAGAGAUUACAUGGAAUACCAAUUGCGAAGGCAGGUUGCUACCAAUGGAUUGACGCUGAUGGACGAAAGCGUGGGUAGCGAACAGGAUUAGAAACCCUAGUAGUCC